GGAAUUUUGGACAAUGGGGGAAACCCUGAUCCAGCCAUCCCGCGUGUAUGAUGAAGGCCUUCGGGUUGUAAAGUACUUUUGGCAGAGAAGAAAAGGUACCUCCUAAUACGAGGUACUGCUGACGGUAUCUGCAGAAUAAGCACCGGCUAACUACGUGCCAGCAGCCGCGGUAAUACGUAGGGUGCGAGCGUUAAUCGGAAUUA
rnacentral:rRNA from 1 species